GAUGAACGCUAGCGGCAGGCCUAAUACAUGCAAGUCGAGGGGUAGAGGAAGCUUGCUUUCUUGAGACCGGCGCACGGGUGCGUAACGCGUAUGCAACCUACCCUUAUCAGGGGGAUAGCCCGGAGAAAUCCGGAUUAACACCGCAUAAAAUCACAGAACAGCAUUGUUUCAUGAUCAAAUAUUUAUAGGAUAAAGAUGGGCAUGCGUGCCAUUAGCUAGUUGGCGGGGUAACGGCCAACCAAGGCGACGAUGGCUAGGGGCUCUGAGAGGAGAAUCCCCCACACUGGUACUGAGACACGGACCAGACUCCUACGGGAGGCAGCAGUAAGGAAUAUUGGUCAAUGGGGGCAACCCUGAACCAGCCAUGCCGCGUGCAGGAAGACUGCCCUAUGGGUUGUAAACUGCUUUUGUACGGGAAUAACCACUGGUAUGUAUACCAGCCUGAAUGUACCGUAAGAAUAAGGAUCGGCUAACUCCGUGCCAGCAGCCGCAGUAAAAC
rnacentral:rRNA from 1 species